rnacentral:tRNA from 1 species
AGCCCCGUCGUCUAGCGGUCAAGGAUAGAAGGCUCUGGACCUUUUGACACCGGUUCGAAUCCGGUCGGGGCUA